rnacentral:rRNA from 1 species
CCUACGGGUGGCUGCAGUGAGGAAUAUUGGUCAAUGGACGCAAGUCUGAACCAGCCAAGUAGCGUGCAGGAUGACGGCCCUCCGGGUUGUCAACUGCUUUUUGUUGGGAAUAAAAGGGCGCUCGUGAGCCCCGUAUUGUUUGUACCAUCAGACAAAGGACCGGCUAAUUCCGUGACAGCAGCCGCGGUAAUACGGAAGGUCCGGGCGUUAUCCGGAUUUAUUGGGUGUAGAGGGAGCGUAGGCCGGCUUUUAAGUCGGCUGUGAAAGGCCGCGGCUCAACCGUGGACGUGCAGUUGAAACUGGAGGCCUUGAGUGCACACAGGGAGGCCGGAAUUCAUGGUGUAGCGGUGAAAUGCGUAGAUAUAAGGAAGAACUCC